UUUCCAGGUGAAGACACUGCCUCACAGGGACUUAGUAGACAAAGGACAGAGCUGGAGCCAGGCUAUGUGUCUUAAAAACAACAAUCCUAUCCAUUUACCCCAUGAGUCUGGGUUCUACCAGAGGAAUGAGCUUAUGGCCAUGUGACUCUCAAAAGCCCAUAUGCUCUAGGAAAAGUGGUUUUUAAAAUUCAGUUAAUUUGACUCAUCUAUCUCUCUCUGACUGCCUUACCAGUUUAUAAGGUUGAUAAGAAACUCAACCUCAAAACUUAAUUUUCUGUGAUUUGCUUUUUAAUGUAUUUGCACUAUAAAAAAAGAAAUAAUAAUAACCCUGAAGUUUAUGCUAAGAAACUGAGCCGCUGUAGGAAGGCCUUUUUUCCUCUCGCUUUUGAUCUAUCAUGGUCACUGGCAAGACACAAGGGACCCAUGUCCUUCCAAAGCUGCUGGGGCCUUUGCUCAGGUCAUCGAACCCCGGAGCUUCCACCAUGGGUGUUAUGUCUGCUCUCAGUGUUCCUGUGUUUCGGUCUCAGGGUACUCAUACCUACAGAGCUCUCACCUGCUCCUUACUCCCUGAGGGUAAAGCCAUCUUUAUGGGCAGUCUGUGCACAGCCUCUUCCUUCUCUUAAGUUCUAUGAAUCAAAACCAUCCUUACAACCCUCUGAGGGAAUGGAGGCUCUGAACACCCAAACAAAAUAUUCAGAGGGCCUCUUCCACAACUGGUUGGAGUGCAGCUUCUGAAGAUGUCAUGGUAAGACCACAGCACACAACUCAUUUGGAAUGUGCUUGCUCAGUCACAUAGAAAUUUUCAGUAAAUCACUCUGCUACAGGUUGUCAUAUUAGAGAGCAAGCUGACUUAACUUGCAAGCUCAGAAGGAGCCAGUGUUUCGCUAGCUUUGAUUCUUCGCAUACAUAGCAAUGGCAUUGCUAAAGAAGAUGUGUCUGAAGACCCACUAGUCCCUGGAGCGACUAAUGUUCACUGUAGCUGCCUUGAUAUUUAAAAAUUUUUCUCCUUAAUUUCUCAUUUUCCUUUAUUCUAUGUGUAUUUCUCUGUUCUCCCUCCCCCAAGUAUAUUUAGCUAUGCAAUUUCAAAAUGGUAAAGUAGAUACCAAUGUUGCUAAUAUAGAAGUAUAAGGGUAGGAGACAACCAGAAGAAUGAUGAUAGAAAUGAGAGCCACUGUUGCCAGUCACUGCUCUUGCCUUCACAAGCUCUCUUUAUGAGCUCUCUGCAGAUUUGUUAGCAUUUCCAGGGGAAAAAAUGCAAGGACCAGCGGCUAGUGUAUAAAUCUGAAAGUGUGUACCUUGUCUGAGGGCUCGAAGGGGGUGAGAAGGGCGCAUGUCCACAGGAGGGAAUGCAAAGCUUUCUGCCAAACCCUAGAACCCUUUCUUGAGAUUGUUUCUUCUGAUCCUAUCACCUGUGCAGCUCUGCAAAUUGGAUAUGGUAUUGGUCCAACUCCGGGAGUAGUCAGCUCAGCCUGGCUUUUGUCUCUAAUGGGUCUCUUUAUCAGAAAGAGUUCUAAAAUGGCUGUUUUAACAGUGUUUUAGAACAGGGAGAGCCAAACAGGUGAUAUCUUUCUCCAAAAGGUUAUCUUCCCUCAGCACGGAAAAGUUGGUUAACAUUGGAGGAGGCACAUUUAACAGAUUGACUUAGUCCCCAGUAAAGGUCAGGAGUCUCUCUCUCCUCCAUCCUUCAUGCUCCUCUUUCCUCCCUGUUCCCUCUUCUGUUUCAAUACUCUGUCGUAUCUUGAACUAUUCUAACUUCCACAUGACACAGAGAAGAAUACUGGGGAUGUGUGGAGAACAUUAUAAAACUAACAGUUUAUUUAAAACGUGUCAUGUGCUUAAAACUUGUUAAGUAAGUUUCUCUGUCUCUCCUCUGUCUCUCUAUCUCUCGCUGUCUAUCUCCCUGUUUCUCCUCUCUCUCUGUCUCUCUC
ensembl:lincRNA Gm42706 predicted gene 42706